rnacentral:lncRNA from 1 species
UGCAUUUCAAGGGAUAAGAGGAAAGAAGCACAGUAGCUACUUAAUUUAGAAAACAUAUUUGAAUGUCACCUGCAAGUCUGAAGCCCAUAUCAUUAAAGGUAACCAGUAGUUCGUCAGCAGGAGAGGUGCAGUUCAGGAACCUGGGGCUCUGUUACAGGGCAGAUGGACGUGCUGCUGAUCUCCCCUGUCCUGUGUUUGCCCUGCUCGAGAGAGCCGAGGAGAAUUGACUUUCUUGACUAUCUCAAAGUUUAAUGGAUGAAUUUCUGGAGAUGCUAAUUAAAAUAUAUCACUGUUAUUGGCAAAAUAAGCUUCCUCCUAUUUGUUUUAUUGUACUUACUCUUUUUACCUCUUUUUUCCCUAAGGAAAAAAAGUAAGGAGGACUUAAUGAGACUGAAGAGAAC